AUACAGAGGGUGCGAGCGUUAAUCGGAAUUACUGGGCGUAAAGCGCGCGUAGGUGGUUAUGUAAGUUGGAUGUGAAAGCCCCGGGCUUAACCUGGGAAUUGCAUUCAAAACUGCAUGGCUAGAGUCUGAUAGAGGGAAGUGGAAUUUCCGGUGUAGCGGUGAAAUGCGUAGAUAUCGGAAGGAACACCAGUGGCGAAGGCGGCUUCCUGGAUCAAGACUGACGCUGAGGUGCGAAAGCGUGGGGAGCAAACAGGAUUAGAAACCCCGGUAGUCC
rnacentral:rRNA from 1 species